CGCCCAGAGUGGCUGGGGGAAACUCAGCCAGAUGGGCGGGGUAUAAAUAAAUUAUUAUUAUUAUUAUUAUUAUUAUUAUUAUUAUUAAUAAUAAUAAUACCCCACCCAUCUGGCUGGGUUUCCCCAACCACUCUGGGCAGC